GACGAACCGUGCGAACGUUGUUCGGAUUCACUGGGCUUAAAGGGCGCGUAGGCGGGCGACCAAGUCAGGGGUGAAAUCUUUCGGCCCAACCGGAAAAGUGCCCCUGAUACUGGCCGCCUCGAGGGGGGUAGGGGCAUGCGGAACUUCCGGUGGAGCGGUGAAAUGCGUUGAUAUCGGAAGGAACGCCGGUGGCGAAAGCGCACUGCUGGACCUUUUCUGACGCUGAGGCGCGAAAGCCAGGGGAGCAAACGGG
rnacentral:rRNA from 1 species